rnacentral:rRNA from 1 species
GACGAACGCUGGCGGCGUGCCUAAUACAUGCAAGUCGAACGCUUUUUCUUUCACCGGAGCUUGCUCCAUCGAAAGAAAAAGAGUGGCGAACGGGUGAGUAACACGUGGGUAACCUGCCCAUCAGAAGGGGAUAACACUUGGAAACAGGUGCUAAUACCGUAUAACACUAUUUUCCGCAUGGAAGAAAGUUGAAAGGCGCUUUUGCGUCACUGAUGGAUGGACCCGCGGUGCAUUAGCUAGUUGGUGAGGUAACGGCUCACCAAGGCAACGAUGCAUAGCCGACCUGAGAGGGUGAUCGGCCACACUGGGACUGAGACACGGCCCAGACUCCUACGGGAGGCAGCAGUAGGGAAUCUUCGGCAAUGGACGAAAGUCUGACCGAGCAACGCCGCGUGAGUGAAGAAGGUUUUCGGAUCGUAAAACUUUGUUGUUAGGGAAGAACAAAUUUGUUAGUAACUGAACAAGUCUUGACGGUACCUAACCAGAAAGCCACGGUUAACUACGUGCCAGCCGCCGCCGUAA